GUAGGUGGCAAGCGUUGUCCGGAAUUAUUGGGCGUAAAGCGCGCGCAGGUGGUUCUUUAAGUCUGAUGUGAAAGCCCCCGGCUCAACCGGGGAGGGUCAUUGGAAACUGGGGAACUUGAGUGCAGGAGAGGAAAGUGGAAUUCCACGUGUAGCGGUGAAAUGCGUAGACAUGUGGAGGAACACCAGUGGCGAAGGCGACUUUCUGGCCUGUAACUGACACUGAGGCGAGAAAGCGUGGGGAGCAAACAGGGAUUAGAUACCCUGGUAGUCCACGCCGUAAACGAUGAGUGCUAAGUGUUGGGGGGGUUUCCCGCCCCUCAGUGCUGCAGCUAACGCAUUAAGCACUCCGCCUGGGGAUACGGUCGCAAGACUG
rnacentral:rRNA from 1 species